UGAGCACUGCGCAGACUUUUCACAAAGCUGCCACAGCUCCAGCCUUGCGGGUGGAGUACUGAUGGAAGAGGAGCCCAGCUCCAUGCCAGCUGUGCCCGCGGCACUGCCUUUUCUGAGUCUCCUCGCCACGCAAAAUAACCAGCUCCGAGGACAAUAUGGUGCCAUGCCUGCCUUCCUCCUGGACCCAAGAGACAGCACCUCAGCCACCCAAGGACAAGUUUAUUUACAUUGCUUUCAUUCCCCAAUGGAUGGGGAAAAGGAGCAAGACUCCCUGUGGUGUCAGAGAAGAUUUGUGUGUAUUUAAAGAACAGCUUGGCUCAAAGCAGGCCUGAGUCUUCCACUGGCCUGGAAGAGUGCUGACAAAUGGAUAGGUGAGACAGUGCCCAACUCCCAGCCCAUUUUCAAACCAUUUAGAUCUUUGUGCAUUGGAGGGGAAACACUGGCCUCUUGUUACAGACACCCCUACCUCCCAGCAGUCGGCCUGAUUGGGCAAGACCUUACCUGCCACCGCUUGCAUACACCAUGGUUGCUCAUUCUGCAGUUCUAUGUUUUUCAGUGUUAGUGGCAAUGGGAACCAUAAUGAAAAGUCUCAAAAUGCACAGAAUGAUUCCUUGAGAGGUAGAAGCUUCAUUUUGCCUUGCUCCUCCAACCCCUAACAGC
rnacentral:lncRNA from 1 species